rnacentral:lncRNA from 1 species
CAUCCCCGACAUAAAGUCCUUUUGACCUUUCUUUUACAUUGAGGGGUCUUUGAGUUGCAACUUCUCAUCAUGGAAUGUGGAACAUUGAUAGGCGCUGGGCAUGCCUGGCACGGUCCGGCCCAGGCCCAUUGGACAACAGUCCAAAUGAAUUAUUCCUGAUAUGAUCCAUUUAUUCUGGAUUCUAAUUUGGUACAGUCCUAGAC